UCUCGUUUUUGACAACCAUUAACAUCUGUCUAAGAAGAUGGAAGAUGAGACAGAAAAACAGGAAAUCAGUUCGGAGGACGAAGUGGAUGCAAUGUGUGUCUGUAGUCUCCUCGAACAACUGAUCGAUCCCAGUCAGAAACCCAUACCAGUGGACUACGUUGACAGUUGAUACAUAACUCUACCAUCUACAAAAAGAGGGGUUGUCUUUAAGAGUGAACCGAAGCCUGAUCAAAAAACGGCGAUCCUUAUUCCCCACGCAUAUCAGACGGACACAGAGGCUGGGGAUUAUUUUGGCGCAACUCUAUACACCUACACGCGGCCUUCAGGGGAGAAAUACAAGUGUCAACAUUUACUGAAGGAUAUCGAUGAUGGGUAUCCGGCACAGAAGAUGCGCAUUUGUGAAGGUGACGAGCUGGUUUUGAUAGGUCAGACACUCACAUCGAACCUUGAUCAUACAGAGGUUCUCAAUAGUUUCCACCAUGACGUUAAAGUGGACGGUAAAACGCGUUUCUGUCUGGUGUUAAGGAAAAGU